rnacentral:rRNA from 1 species
AAAAAUCCGGGGUUUCAAGGCCGAGAGCUGAUGACGAGUCGUCUUUUAGAUGACGAAGUGGUUGAUGCCAUGCUUCCAAGAAAAGCUUCUAAGCUUCAGGUAACCAGGAACCGUACCCCAAACCGACACAGGUGGUCGGGUAGAGAAUACCAAGGCGCUUGAGAGAACUCGGGUGAAGGAACUAGGCAAAAUGGCACCGUAACUUCGGGAGAAGGUGCGCCGGCUAGGGUGAAGGAUUUACUCCGUAAGCUCUGGCUGGUCGAAGAUACCAGGCCGCUGCGACUGUUUAUUAAAAACACAGCACUCUGCAAACACGAAAGUGGACGUAUAGGGUGUGACGCCUGCCCGGUGCCGGAAGGUUAAUUGAUGGGGUUAGCGCAAGCGAAGCUCUUGAUCGAAGCCCCGGUAAACGGCGGCCGUAACUAUAACGGUCCUAAGGUAGCGAAAUUCCUUGUCGGGUAAGUUCCGACCUGCACGAAUGGCGUAACGAUGGCGGCGCUGUCUCCACCCGAGACUCAGUGAAAUUGAAAUCGCUGUGAAGAUGCAGUGUAUCCGCGGCUAGACGGAAAGACCCCGUGAACCUUUACUGUAGCUUUGCACUGGACUUUGAGCCUGCUUGUGUAGGAUAGGUGGGAGGCUUUGAAGCGUGGACGCCAGUUCGCGUGGAGCCAUCCUUGAAAUACCACCCUGGCAUGCUUGAGGUUCUAACUCUGGUCCGUAAUCCGGAUCGAGGACAGUGUAUGGUGGGCAGUUUGACUGGGGCGGUCUCCUCCUAAAGAGUAACGGAGGAGUACGAAGGUGCGCUCAGACCGGUCGGAAAUCGGUCGCAGAGUAUAAAGGCAAAAGCGCGCUUGACUGCGAGACAGACACGUCGAGCAGGUACGAAAGUAGGUCUUAGUGAUCCGGUGGUUCUGUAUGGAAGGGCCAUCGCUCAACGGAUAAAAGGUACUCCGGGGAUAACAGGCUGAUACCGCCCAAGAGUUCAUAUCGACGGCGGUGUUUGGCACCUCGAUGUCGGCUCAUCACAUCCUGGGGCUGAAGCCGGUCCCAAGGGUAUGGCUGUUCGCCAUUUAAAGUGGUACGCGAGCUGGGUUUAGAACGUCGUGAGACAGUUCGGUCCCUAUCUGCCGUGGACGUUUGAGAUUUGAGAGGGGCUGCUCCUAGUACGAGAGGACCGGAGUGGACGAACCUCUGGUGUUCCGGUUGUCACGCCAGUGGCAUUGCCGGGUAGCUAUGUUCGGAAAAGAUAACCGCUGAAAGCAUCUAAGCGGGAAACUUGCCUCAAGAUGAGAUCUCACUGGGAACUUGAUUCCCCUGAAGGGCCGUCGAAGACUACGACGUUGAUAGGCUGGGUGUGUAAGCGUUGUGAGGCGUUGAGCUAACCAGUACUAAUUGCCCGUGAGGCUUGACC